rnacentral:rRNA from 1 species
UACGGAGGGGGCAAGCGUUGUCCGGACUUACUGGGCGUAAAGGGUGCGUAGGCGGCCUGCUGCGUCGGUGCUGAAAGCGCCCGGCUUAACCGGGCGAGGCGUGCCGAUACGAGCGGGCUGGAGCCUUGGCGAGGGUGGCGGAACUCCUGGUGUAGUGGUGAAAUGCGUAGAGAUCAGGCGGAACACCCGUGGCGAAGGCGGCCAGCUGGGCCGUCCCUGACGCUGAGGCGCGAAGGCGUGGGGAGCGAACGGG